rnacentral:rRNA from 1 species
ACAGGGAUUGCCCUAGUAACGGCGAGUGAAGCGGCAUCAGCUCAAAUUUGAAAUCUGGCUCUUUCAGGGUCCGAGUUGUAAUUUGCAGAGGGCGCUUUGGCGUUGGCAGCGGUCCAAGUUCCUUGGAACAGGACGUCACAGAGGGUGAGAAUCCCGUACGUGGUCGCUGGCCUUCGCCGUGUAAAGCCCCUUCGACGAGUCGAGUUGUUUGGGAAUGCAGCUCUAAAUGGGAGGUAAAUUUCUUCUAAAGCUAAAUACUGGCCAGAGACCGAUAGCGCACAAGUAGAGUGAUCGAAAGAUGAAAAGCACUUUGGAAAGAGAGUCAAAUAGCACGUGAAAUUGUUGAAAGGGAAGCGCUUGCAGCCAGACUUGCUUGUAGUUGCUCAUCCGGGCUUUUGCCCGGUGCACUCUUCUGUAAGCAGGCCAGCAUCAGUCUGGGCGGUUGGAUAAAGGCCUCUGUCAUGUACCUUCUCUCGGGAAGGCCUUAUAGGGGAGGCGUAAUGCAACCAGCCUGGACUGAGGUCCGCGCAUCUGCUAGGAUGCUGGCGUAAUGGCUGUAAGCGGCCCGUCUUGAAACACGGACCAAGGAGUCUAACAUCUAUGCGAGUGUUUGGGUGUCAAGCCCGAGCGCGUAAUGAAAGUGAACGGAGGUGGGAUCCCUUUAGGGUGCACCAUCGACCGAUCCUGAUGUCUUCGGAUGGAUUUGAGUAAGAGCAUGGCUGUUGGGACCCGAAAGAUGGUGAACUAUGCUUGAAUAGGGUGAAGCCAGAGGAAACUCUGGUGGAGGCUCGCAGCGGUUCUGACGUGCAAAUCGAUCGUCAAAUUUGGGCAUAGGGGCGAAAGACUAA